rnacentral:rRNA from 1 species
UACGUAGGGUGCGAGCGUUAAUCGGAAUUACUGGGCGUAAAGCGUGCGCAGGCGGUUUUGUAAGCCAGAUGUGAAAGCCCCGGGCUUAACCUGGGAAUGGCAUUUGGGACUGCAAGGCUUGAGUGCGGCAGAGGAGACUGGAAUUCCUGGUGUAGCAGUGAAAUGCGUAGAUAUCAGGAGGAAUACCGAUGGCGAAGGCAGGUCUCUGGGCUGACACUGACGCUCAUGCACGAAAGCGUGGGGAGCG